rnacentral:rRNA from 1 species
ACGCUGGCGGCAUGCCUUACACAUGCAAGUCGAACGGCAGCGCGGGAGCAAUCCUGGYGGCGAGUGGCGAACGGGUGAGUAAUACAUCGGAACGUGCCCAAUCGUGGGGGAUAACGCAGCGAAAGCUGUGCUAAUACCGCAUACGAUCUACGGAUGAAAGCAGGGGAUCGCAAGACCUUGCGCGAAUGGAGCGGCCGAUGGCAGAUUAGGUAGUUGGUGGGGUAAAGGCUCACCAAGCCUUCGAUCUGUAGCUGGUCUGAGAGGACGACCAGCCACACUGGGACUGAGACACGGCCCAGACUCCUACGGGAGGCAGCAGUGGGGAAUUUUGGACAAUGGGCGCAAGCCUGAUCCAGCCAUGCCGCGUGCAGGAUGAAGGCCUUCGGGUUGUAAACUGCUUUUGUACGGAACGAAACGGCCUUUUCUAAUAAAGAGGGCUAAUGACGGUACCGUAAGAAUAAGCACCGGCUAACUACGUGCCAGCAGCCGCGGUAAUACGUAGGGUGCAAGCGUUAAUCGGAAUUACUGGGCGUAAAGCGUGCGCAGGCGGUAAUGUAAGACAGUUGUGAAAUCCCCGG